rnacentral:tRNA from 1 species
GCCCAGAUGGCGGAAUUGGUAGACGCGCUAGUUUCAGGGACUAGUAUUCGCAAGGAUGUGCAGGUUCGAGUCCUGUUCUGGGCA